rnacentral:rRNA from 1 species
GACGAACGCUGGCGGCGUGCUUAACACAUGCAAGUCGAACGGUCAACCUCUUCGGAGGGGAUCAGUGGCGAACGGGUGAGUAACACGUGGGCAACCUGCCCCCGGCUCUGGGAUAAUUCCAAGAAUUCGGGGCAAAUACCGGAUGUUCACCGCUUCUCGCAUAGGGGGUGGUGGAAAGGUUUUCCGGCUGGUGAUGGGCCCGCGGCCUAUCAGCUUGUUGGUGGGGUAGGGGUCUACCAAGGCGACGACGGGUAGCCGGCCUGAGAGGGUGACCGGCCACACUGGGACUGAGACACGGCGCAGACUCGUACGGUAGGCAGCGGUGGAGAAUAUUACGGAGUAGGCGGAAGCCUGACGCAGCGACGCCGCGUGGGGGAUGACGGGCUUCGGGUGGUAAACCACUGUCAGCAGGGACGAGGCGCUAGUGACGGUACCUGAAGAAGAAGCACCGGCCAACUACGUG